UACGUAGGCAGCAAGCGUUGUUCGGAGUUACUGGGCGUAAAGGGUGCGUAGGCGGCUUUUUAAGUUUGGUGUGAAAUCUCCCGGCUCAACUGGGAGGGUGCGCCGAAUACUGAGAGGCUAGAGUGUGGGAGAGGAAAGCGGAAUUCCUGGUGUAGCGGUGAAAUGCGUAGAUAUCAGGAGGAACACCGGUGGUGUAAAUGGCUUUCUGGACCAUAACUGACGCUGAGGCACGAAAGCGUGGGUAGCAAACAGG
rnacentral:rRNA from 1 species